GACGGGGGGGGCAAGUGUUCUUCGGAAUUACUGGGCGUCAAGGGCACGUAGGCGGUGAAUCGGGUUGAAAGUGAAAGUCGCCAAAAAGUGGCGGAAUGCUCUCGAAACCAAUUCACUUGAGUGGGACAGAGGAGAGUGGAAUUUCGUGUGUAGGGGUGAAAUCCGUAGAUCUACGAAGGAAGGCCAAAAGCGAAGGCAGCUCUCUGGGUCCCUACCGACGCUGGGGUGCGAAAGCAUGGGGAGCGAACAGG
rnacentral:rRNA from 1 species